GUGGGGAAUAUUCCGCAAUGGACGAAAGUCUGACGGAGCAACGCCGCGUGAGUGAUGAAGGUUUUCGGACUGUAAAGCUCUGUUGUUUAGGACGAAAGUGCCUGUUGCGAACAGUUACAGGCAUUGACGGUACUAAACGAGGAAGCCACGGCUAACUACGUGCCAGCAGCCGCGGUAAUACGUAGGUGGCAAGCGUUGUCCGGAAUUAUUGGGCGUAAAGAGCAUGUAGGCGGAGAUUUAAGUCUGUUGUGAAAAUGGGGGGCUCAACCCCGUAUUGCGAUGGUAACUGAAUUUCUUGAGUGCAGGAGAGGAAAGGGGAAUUCCCAGUGUAGCGGUGAAAUGCGUAGAUAUUGGGAGGAACACCAGUGGCGAAGGCGCCUUUCUGGACUGUGUCUGACGCUGAGAUGCGAAAGCCAGGGUAGCGAACGGGAUUAGAUACCCGAGUAGUCC
rnacentral:rRNA from 1 species